rnacentral:rRNA from 1 species
UACGGGGGGAGCAAGCGUUGUUCGGAUUUACUGGGCGUAAAGGGCGCGUAGGCGGCCAGCACAAGUCAGUUGUGAAAUCUCCGGGCUUAACUCGGAAAGGUCAACUGAUACUGUGCGACUAGAGUGCGGAAGGGGCAACUGGAAUUCUCGGUGUAGCGGUGAAAUGCGUAGAUAUCGAGAGGAACACCUGCGGCGAAGGCGGGUUGCUGGGCCGACACGUGACGCUGAUGCGCGAAAGCCAGGGGAGCGAACGGG